rnacentral:rRNA from 1 species
UACAUAGGGUGCUAGCGUUGCUCGGAAUUACUGGGCGUAAAGGAUGUGUAGGAGGAUUUGAAAGUCAAUUGUGAAAUCCCUGGGCUCAACCCAGGAACUGCAAUUGAUACUCCAAAUCUAGAGUGAGGUAGAGGAUAGCGGAAUUCUUAGUGUAGGGGUAAAAUCCGUAGAUACUAAGAGGAACACCGAAGGCGAAGGCAGCUAUCUGGGCCUUUACUGACUUUGAAACAUGAAAGCGUGGGGAGCAAACAGG